CAUAUAUUUAAGCAGCCUAUUUCAAAGUUUCUAAAAAAAAACAGCGAAUUCACAUCCGGUUUCUGCUCUAUUUCUUCUUCUCGCUUUUGGACUAGGGUUUUUGAAGAUUUCUUUAGUGAUUUUAACAGGUUCAAACAUGUCCGAUGCAGAGUGUUCCAAUCCAAAUACCUACUGCUAUGCAUACAUUUACUAUAAGCAUCAUCAUUUUGCUCACCUGGUUACUUUUAAGUCUAGUAUUGAUGACCUGAAAUUUCUUAUUUGUGAAAACUGGAGAACCUUGAACCCUUCUGAGAUUAUCAUCACUUAUGUUGA